UUAGUACUCCCUCCGACUGGAAAUACUUGUCCGAGGAAUGAUUGUAUCUAGAUGUAUUUUAGUUCUAGAUACAUCCAUUUGUAUCCAUUUCUUCAACAAGUAUUUCCAGACGGAGGGAGUAAUAA
rfam:Triticum aestivum genome assembly, contig: Triticum_aestivum_CS42_TGACv1_scaffold_148084_2BS